rnacentral:snRNA from 1 species
AUACUUACCUGGAAGAAAGUGGCAAGGCUUAUCCAUUGCACUCCAGAUGUGCUGACCCCUGUGAUUUCCCCAAAUGUGGGAAACUCGACUGCAUAAUUUAUGGUAGUGGGGGACUGCGUUCACACUCUCCCCAU